GAAGUCAAUCAAAGGAGUAGUAGCAAUAAAGAGGAAGAUGGUUAUCACGGGAUGAAGAUGAGGCAAUGCCAAGUAUAGUGCUGUGUACGGAGCCUGGAGCAAGGUGAACAAAUGCAGGCUUCAGGAUGCCAAGUGACUUCAUAUCAACAUCACCCAGCAGAUUAAGGGAACUGGUCCCAGAAUCCUAGGCUCCUGACUACCCAGUCCUGUGCCCAUUCUAG